rnacentral:rRNA from 1 species
GACGAACGCUGGCGGCGUGCUUAACACAUGCAAGUCGAACGGAAGGGCCCUACUUUUGUGGGGUUCUCGAGUGGCGAACGGGUGAGUAACACGUGAGUAACCUGCCCUUGACUUUGGGAUAACUUCAGGAAAAUGGGGCUAAUACCGGAUAGGAGCUCCUGCUGCGUGGUGGGGGUUGGAAAGUUUCGGCGGUGGGGGAUGGACUCGCGGCUUAUCAGCUUGUUGGUGGGGUAGUGGCUUACCAGGGCUAUGACGGGUAGCCGGCCUGAGAGGGUGACCGGCCACAUUGGGACUGAGAUACGGACCAGACUGCUACGGGAGGCAGUAGGGGGGAAUAUGGCACAAUGGGCGGAAGCCUGAUGCAGCAACGCCGCGUGCGGGAUGACGGCUUUCGGGUUGUAAACAGCUGUCGCAGGUGACGAAGCGUGAGUGACGGUAAUGGGUAAAGAAGCACCGGCUAACUACGUG